rnacentral:rRNA from 1 species
GUGCACCAGUCGCGAAACCUUCGCAAUGCGGGAAACCGCGACGAGGGGACUCCCAGUGCCUACGCUCAGCGUAGGCUGUUCCCGAGCCUAGAAAGCUCGGGGAGUAAGGGCUGGGUAAGACGGGUGCCAGCCGCCGCGGUAAUACCCGCAGCCCGAGUGGUGGCCACUAUUAUUGGGCCUAAAGCGUCCGUAGCCGGCCCGGUAAAUGCCUGGGUAAAUCGUGAGGCCUAACCUCACGAAUUCCGGGUAGACUGCCGGGCUAGGGACCGGAGGAGGGAGAGGGGUACUCCAGGGGUAGGGGUGAAAUCCUGUAAUCCCUGGAGGACCACCGGUGGCGAAGGCGCUCUCCUAGGACGGGUCCGACGGUGAGGGACGAAAGCCAGGGGAGCGAACCGGAUUAGAUACCCGUGUAGU